rnacentral:rRNA from 1 species
AAAGAAACUAACUAGGAUUCCCUUAGUAACGGCGAGUGAACCGGGAUGAGCUCAAAUUUAAAAUCUGGCGUCUUUCAGGCGUCCGAGUUGUAAUCUAUAGAGGCGUUUUCCGCGCCGGACCGCGUCCAAGUCCCUUGGAAUAGGGUAUCAAAGAGGGUGACAAUCCCGUACUUGACGCGACGACCGGUGCUCUGUGAUACGUUCUCAACGAGUCGAGUUGUUUGGGAAUGCAGCUCUAAAUGGGUGGUAAAUUCCAUCUAAGGCUAAAUAUUGGCGAGAGACCGAUAGCGAACAAGUACCGUGAGGGAAAGAUGAAAAGCACUUUGGAAAGAGAGUUAAACAGCACGUGAAAUUGUUAAAAGGGAAACGAUUGAAGUCAGUCGUGUGGGAGGUAUUCAGCCGUCUCUGGCGGUGUAUUUGCCUCUCACGGGUCAACAUCAGUUUGAUCCGGUAGAAAAAGGCGGGAGGAAGGUGGCACCCUCGGGUGUGUUAUAGCCUCCUGUCACAUGUGCCGGACCAGACUGA